rnacentral:rRNA from 1 species
UACGUAGGGUGCAGGCGUUAAUCGGAAUUACUGGGCGUAAAGCGUGCGCAGGCGGUUUGCUAAGACAGGUGUGAAAUCCCCGGGCUUAACCUGGGAACUGCGCUUGUUACUGGCAGGCUUGAGUGUGGCAGAGGGGGGUGGAAUUCCACGUGUAGCAGUGAAAUGCGUAGAUAUGCGGAGGAACACCGAUGGCGAAGGCAAUCCCCUGGACCUGUACUGACGCUCAUGCACGAAAGCGUGGGGAGCAAACAGG